rnacentral:rRNA from 2 species
GAUGGUUCGAUUAGUCUUUCGCCCCUAUACCCAGUUCAUACGAUCGAUUUGCACGUCAGAAUCGCUACGGACCUCCAUCAGGGUUUCCCCUGACUUCAUCCUGACCAGGCAUAGUUCACCAUCUUUCGGGUCCCAGCGUGUACGCUCUUGGUGCGCCGCAACUUGCAAUAAGUAUGCGACGCCCCGGGAAUGCGAGGUAACAUAAAUAACGUUACCCAUCUUCCCUUUAUAAAAUAUAAUUUAAAAAAUUAUAUAUAUAUUUACUUUCAUUACGCCUUUAGGUUUAUUAUAAAUACCCAAUGACUUGCGCACAUGCUAGAUG